GAAUUAUUUUUUUCUUUUCUUUGUUUAAAGAUAUUUGAAUUUCCAGUGGUGUAAUUCAGUCAGGGUCCAGGGGCCUAAGAAGGGGAGGGCUGCUGGUGUAAGUGCUGUGGUCUGAAGGCCCCCAAACCAGGAGCUCCAGUGUCCAAGAGCAGGAGAAGCCAGACGCCCCAGCCCCAGGAGAGAGAGGGAGUUCGCCCUUCCUUUGCCUUUUUGCUCCAUAGCGCCCUCAACCGGUUGGACCAUGCCGGCCCACACUGGUGAGGGUGGAUUUUCUUUACUAAUCUCUUCUAGAAACACCCUCACAGACACAUCCAGAAAUACUGUUUUACCAGGAAUCUGGGUGUCCCUCCCCCAGUCAAGGUGACACAUAAAAUUAACAACCAUGAUAUGGCAAAAUAUUACGAGAGUUAUCUCUGGUGGAUGCUUGGGUAAUGGGGAGUCUUUCUUCUACAUGCUUUCCAAUCGAUCCUAGAUUUUACUAUCAUGUAUGACCAGAAUCAUAAAAAUAUUCACGGUUAUAAAGUUGGCUAGCCGAAUGCUGAAUGCCAACUGCCUGCCCAUAUCUUCCAUAAUGUCGCUGACUUUUGAACAACAGGACUGGAAUUAGGAAAGUGGUUCUCUUCCUCUAAACACACACACCAGGAGUUCCCGUCUAAACACACACACCAGGAGUUCCCGUCUUGGCGCAGCAGAAACAAAUCUGGCUAGGAACCAUGGGGUUGUGGGUUCGAUCCCUGGCCCGCUCAGUGGGUUGAGGAUCUGGUGUUGCUGUGGCUGUGAUAUAGGCCGGUAGCUGCAGCUCUGAUUCAACCCCUAGCCUGGGGACAUCCAUGUGCUGCGGGCACGGCCCUAAAAAGACAAUAAAUAAAUAAAUAAACGCACACACCAAAUUAUCAAUUUAAAAAAACUGACAAAUUACCAAAAUGAUCAGAAAAUUAAGAAAAAUACCGUAUUUUUUAUUAAUCACCUUCCUGGUAUACCUCUAUAAUGCUUUUUUCUUACACUUUUAAGCUGUGUGGUUUUUUGUUCUCCUUUUCAUAAGACAAUGAUUCUGUAAUAUCCUCUUUCUAUAGAGAGACUAGAAAGAUAAUUCAGUCUUUCCAUGAGAUGGAUAAAAAUUUGAUUAAAAAAUAUUCAGGUAAUUUCUUUCAGCCUCACAACAAAUUAUUGGUUAAGUCAUGUAAUUAUUUGUUUGUUUUUAAAUGAUUUUUGUUUUUUCCAUUAUAGGUGGUUUACAGUGUUCUGUCAAUGUGCUGCUGUACAGCAAAGUGACCCAGUCACACAUACAUAUAUACAUUCUUUUUUCCACAUUAUCCCCCAUCAUGCUCCAUCACAAGUGACUAGACAUAGUUCCCAAUGCUAUACAGCAGGAUCUCAUUGCUUAUUCACUCCAAAUGCAAUAGUUUGCAUCUAUUAACCCCAGAUUCCCAGUCCAUCCCACUCCUUCCCCCGUGGCAACCACAAGUCUGUUCUCUAAGUCCAUGGGUUUCUUUUCUGUAGAAAGGUUUAUUUGCGUUGUGUGUUAGAGUCCAGAUAUAAGUGACAUCAUAUGGUAUUUGUCUUUCUCUUUCUGACUUACUUCAUUUAGUAUGAGAGUCUCUCGUUCCACCCAUGUUGCUGCAAAUGGCAUUAUUUCGUUCUUGUUUAUGCCUGAGUAGUAUAAGUCAUGUAAUUUUUUAGAAUUGUUGUCAGAUUUGGAAAAACCUCUAAAUUGUUUAAUGUGUGAGUGUAAUAUUCAGGGCAUUUCACGUUUUCUUUUUCCAAUGAUUCAUUUUAAACAUUCUUAGAAUUGAUGACAUUCAUUAACCAAUUUGUUAGCAGUGUCCUCAUUGUACCAGCAUAUUUUCUUUAUCAGCGUCAAUAUUUCAUAUGAGAGCAGCAAGAAUGGUAAAUGUUUUUCCUUUGUUUUUACAUUAUGCAUCCUACCUCAUCACUGGAUCAUCAGACAAUCCAAGGGACUCUUCAUUGAUUCCAUUCGACCUGUACCUUUUCCUCUGAAUGAAUGACUGCUUCUAGUAUCAUCUCACAGGUGUCAUUAUAAUUUGCUUAUUGAUGUCAUAAAAUGUUCUCUUGCUUAUCUUUAUCUCUUUUUUUUUUUGUCUUUUUUUUUCGUCUUUUAGCCAUUUCUUGGGCCGAUCCCUCGGCAUAUGGAGGUUCCCAGGCUAGGGGUCUCAUCGGAGCUGUAGCUGCCACAGCAACGUGGGAUCUGAACUGUGUCUGCGACCUACACCAGAGCUCACGGCAACACCGGAUGGUUAACCCACUGAGCAAGGCCAGGGAUCGAACCUGCAACCUCAUGGAUCCUAGUCAGAUUCAUUAAUCACUGAGCCACAACGGGAACUCCUAUCUUUAUCUCUUUUUUAUGUCACUAAUUUGAUAUAUCUUUUCCUCGCAGUUCUUUAAUACAUAAAUGAAUUGAUUUUCUAUAUUAUUUAUCUCUUUCUAUUGAAAUACAGUUGAUGUGCAAUGUUUUGUGAAUUUUUGCGUAUAACAUAGUGAUUCACCAUUUAAAACAUUAUGAAAUGAUCACUGAGAUAAGUCUAGUAACCAUCCGACACCACACAGCGUCAUGACAGUAUUAUUGAAUGUAUUCCUUAUGCUGUAUGUUACCUUUCUGUAAGUUAUUUAUUUUAUAACUGGAAGUUUGUACCUCUUAUUCCCUUCAUCCAUUUCAUCGAAUCCCUCACCUUAUACUUACAUAAAUGAAUUUAGAGAUAAGAAUGGGGCCCUUCAUAUGUGAAAAAAAUCAGAAGUCUAUACUUUCUUUGGUUGAAAAGAUUCCAGAACAUAUUUCCAAAGAGCAGUUACAAUGUCAUAUUUGUCAGCUUUGUCAAAUAUAUCACUCCCACUGAAAAAGGAAAAAAAAAAAUCCCUUGUGGUACAUUUGCUUGUGUAUAAGCUUUAGGGUCGCUUUCAUUCCUAGCGAGAGAGGAUACUCUUUUGACUAGCCAUAAACAAGAGCUGAAUCUUCCGCUUACCAUUUUACAUGUGUGAUGAUUUGAAGGGUCACAUUUCCUGGGGCUCUCCGUUUCACACUGUGUUUCUCUUCCACCACCGAUGUAAGUUUGGUGCCUGGCGGCAUCGGGAUGUCUGUGUCUCAGUACCAGGUACCUGGUCAGGUAAGUUAGCACAAAGGGCAGGAGGAGUGUUGCUGGGAGCUAUACCGCUAGCAAUAACAGGACUUGACAGGUAUGGCAGGUGUGAAUGCAAGCCGCAUCUGUGUAUCCCCCCCCAUAUAUGUGUAUAUAUCUCUCUCUCUGAUUAAAGCUUUCCCCAAAUGCCCACAGCCACUUCAAUACCACCAGACUUGAGGGAGUUGAAGGGAGGUUGGGGUGAAAAGAGACAGGGGUUGUAACUAUUUGUGGUUGAAGCAAUCCAGUUUUGCAAAUUUUAUUACAACCUAGCACUGUACAAACACAUCGCCCGGGCCCCUUCCGAGCCUUGGAGCCCAUGCAAGUGAGGGGCCUCGACGCUCACACUCAUCGCUUCCUGGCAAAUCGGCCCCAGUGUCCACUGCCCUCAACAUCGGCCGAGCCCUCAACCCCGCUCCCUGGAUUGUUGCCGUCACCUCUUCUUUCUCCCCUACCACGUCCAGUCGGUGCUUAACCCAGUGCCCAAAGUCAUCCUGUAAAAGCUUACAUCAGAUCAUGUCACACCUUUGCUCCAAAGCCUCCAACAUUUUCCCAUCUCAUUUCCAGCAAAAGCCAGAAGUCCAGUGGGCCCUGCGCGACCUGGCCCUUUGCCUUUCUGACCUCACCUCUUGGUAUCCAGCCCUUCCUCACUCCACGCCCAUCCCCUACAGUUUCUGGGAUGGUCAGGCACGUUCCCACGGGGCCCUUGAACUUGCUGUCAUGCUGCCUGGACCACUCCUCCAUCUCCUUCAGGGAAACCUUGCCUGACUUCCCCAUCACCAGUCCCCAUUUCUGGACCCUGCUUAUACAUCUCCAUGGAUGUAUCACCAUCUGAAUCCCAUGUUUUGCUUAUUGUUUGUCCCCCUUCUCCAGAACGUGAGCUCCUCGAGGUGUGAAGCUUUGUUUUGUCCACUGCAGUGUCCAGUGCCUGGAACACUGCUUGACAUUGAUGACUGACUCGUGGUGAACACAAGGGUCUCUGCCUUAAACUUUCCUUUCUUCAGAUGCAUCAGUAGCCCUUGGGACCACAUUCUAAGAAAGAGCAGUAAAAGUGUACUUACUGGAAGUCCAUUUUCGUUAAAAUAGAAGAGCAAAGGUAAAAGAGUGGCAGGGUUCACUAGCAUUUGAGCAACUUGUUUUGAUAAAGAACUGUUUUCUGGUGAAGUGAAUCACCAGAGGAUUUGAUCACUGCGCUCCAAACCACUGGCACCUCCUCCCUUUAUCCCCCCAAAAUGUAAUCCAGAGUCACUGCGGUAGUAAUAGGAAAUUGCCAAAUCAUAUAACAAUUUCUCCAGUUCAAAGGAAAAAAACACAAAUAAAAAGAAAAGGAUGAAGAGGAGACACUUGAAAUGUUUAUUCUUGUUUAUCUUUUCUUCUUUUUCAUUUUCCUUCUGACUUUGAAUAGAAUGAAUCAGAAAAUAUUACAGAAAAGCAAGAAAGGGAGUUCCCGUUGUGGCACAGGGCAAACAACUGACCAGUAUCCAUGAGGUUGCAGGCUCCAUCCCUGGCCCCGCUCAGUGGGUUAAGGAACUGGCACUGCUAUGAGCUGUGGCGUAGGCCAGCAGCUGCAGCUCUGAUUUGACCCCCUAGCCUGGGAAUGUCCAUAUGCCGUGGGUAUAGGGGGAUGGGGUGGGGAAGAAAAGCCAGAAAGCAGAUUGUCGUGAGAGCAUCCCACUUGGUCAGAGUAGUGGUGACAUUCUGGAGUGGCAAAUGAACUUAGAGCCAGGGGAGGCAAGAUUGCUCGUAAAUAUAAAAUGCUGUAAAUUAUCAUCAUAUCAAAACAUUUUCCAAAGAGUUAAAAAAGACAUUUUUACAAAAAGUAAAAAUAGUUAUAAUCCCAACACCAUGACAGAAAAGCCCCACUUCAGUAUAUUCUUUCUCAACUUUUUCUUAUCUAUAUAUACUUUUUCACUGUGGUAAAAAAAUACAGCAUAAAAUUUACCCAUUUUGGUCUUAACCAUUUUCAAGUGUACAGUACAAAAGUGUUAUGCAUACAUUUUUAUUUUCAUGUAUUUCUUGUAUCCUGAUUUUUAACCCUCACAUUAUCUCGUAUCAAAUAAAUCUUUCAUGUGGCAAAUCUGUCUACAUGCUUGUAAUGUGAAAGAAGUGUAAUAUUUUAUUUCAUGGCUCUAACCUUCUUUAUUUAGCUGUUUGUCUUUAAUUGGACAUGUAUGUUGCUUACAAUUUUUUACUCUUAAAAAUAGUAUUAUAAACUUCUGGUUCAUAUAGUAUUUUUCUCUUUAAUAUUUUCAAUGAUCUUCCUAGAAUAAUUUUCUAGAUGUUUUCUAGGAAAAAUUAAGUCAAAAGUGAUGUUUUGCAUGGUUCUUGAAAGUUACAAUAAAAUUGCUUUCCAAGGGCUUGUACCAAUUUAAAAUGAUCCCAGUGGAAUUUGAGAGUACCAAUUUCACCACACUCUCACAACGUUUUCUUUUGUUACAUAUAGUAUGCUAAAAGGUUUCUUAUUUUAACAUGUACUUUUCUUAUAUCUAUUUUCCUUGACUGUUUUCUCUGUUGAAUAAUACCAGUUCAUUUCACUUGCUCGGUUUACAUUUGGGAGGGUGUCUCAAUAUUUCUUUUAUUCCUUUUCACGGGGUGUAUAUAUAAGCGAUUUUAACCCUCUGUCAUAAUUACUGUGAAUAUUUUCCACCAUCUUUUUUUAAAAUUUCUGGUUAUACUAUUAUCUGAAGCAAUUUAACACUGUUAUGUAGUUCAGAUCUUUUCAAUGUGGUUUCUCCUAUCAUCUGUCAUCUCAGAAUAUUCCACUUUGUCUUAUCCUCAGGGACUUUAAUAAAGGAUUUAAUUCUGCUUUAUCUC
rnacentral:lncRNA from 1 species